UAGGGAAUAUUGGUAAUCUGGGAAACCGGGAACCAGCAACGCCGCGUGCGCGAUGAAGGCCUUCGGGUUGUAAAGCCCUGUCAGGUGGGAAGAAUGUCCCGGGACUGAACAGGUUCCGGGAGUGACGGUACCACCAGAGGAAGCACCGGCUAACUCCGUGCCAGCAGCCGCGGUAAUACGGAGGGUGCAAGCGUUAUUCGGAAUUACUGGGCGUAAAGCGUGUGUAGGCGGUUUGAUAAGUUGGAUGUGAAAGCUCCUGGCUUAACUGGGAGAGGUCGUUCAAAACUAUCAGACUUGAGAGUGGUAGAGGGAGGUGGAAUUCCGCAUGUAGUGGUGAAAUGCGUAGAUAUGCGGAGGAACACCAGUGGCGAAAGCGGCCUCCUGGACCACUCCUGACACUCAGACGCGAAAGCUAGGGUAGCAAACG
rnacentral:rRNA from 1 species